CCCCCCUGGAUUGGUAGAUGCUCCUAGACUCAAACACAAGUUCUCCAGGGGAGACCCUGCGAGGCUUGGAGAGGACCCAUCACUACCGUCCCACCGGAAGGGCCCUGGGGUAGUGCAUCCUGGUCUUCUGGUUAUCACUCUAUUCACGGCUCCUGAAGCACGUGUUCUGACCUGGCAGUCAGCCCGCUUUUCCAUAGCCGGGGUAGAAAGUAGUCACCUUUGGAUAAUUUCUGAACCAGUGUUUGUCUUCUCCUUCCUCCCACAAUCCUCCCUCCCAACCAACCCUUUUUCUCUUCCCCGUCUUUUACCUCCCUGCCCUUUCGUUUUUUACAGCUCAAGUGGCCUUUCUAGGUGGGUAUUCCUCGGCUGCCUUUAGACUCUCUGAGCCUCUCUCUCAGGCUUCAUAUCUUUCUCUAGGCCUAGGACUCUGCCUUCAAUUCUAUGCACUUUAAAUUCCAUCAAUAAAGGAAAAAAAUCUAA
rnacentral:lncRNA from 1 species